rnacentral:rRNA from 1 species
AUUGAACGCUAGCGGCAUGCCUUACACAUGCAAGUCGAACGAGUGGCGGACGGGUGAGUAAUAUAUCGGAACGUGCCCAGUAGCUGGGGAUAACUACUCGAAACAGUUGCUAAUACCGCAUACCAUCGGAGCGGCCCAGAUCGGCUUAGCUAGUAGGUGGGGUAAAGGCUCACCAAGGCCACGAUCCGUAGCUGGUCUGAGAGGACGACCAGCAACACUGGAACUGAGACACGGCCCAGACUCCUACGGGAGGCAGAAGUGGGGAAUUUUGGACAAUGGGGGAAAGCCUGAUUCAGCCAUCCCGCGUGUAUGAGAAGGCCUUCGGGUUGUAAAGUACUUUUAGCAGGGAAGCGGUAUCUGCAGAAUAAGCACCGGCUAACUACGUGCCAGCAGCCGCGGUAAUAC